UAUAAACAAUGUAAGGGGUGUGUGGGUGAUGCCAAUAGCGAGAAGUCUAUCUAAGAGGAUGAAGUGUGAGAUUGUAUCGAAGGCCACAUGCAGAUCAAGGAUGGGUAUUGAUAGAAGACCAGAAUCAGAUGCCAGAUGGCAAACCUCCAUGCUACUGAGAGGAUCCGUUUGGUACAUUUUGCCUGAGUACGUUUUGCCUGACCGAGACCAAAGGAACCUGCAGCGAUACUGUAAAGGUUCCCCGGGUUCAUCAGCAUUGUAGACCUGAUUAUCACACAGAAGCUUUAUGAGGGCAUCAAUGGUCAGAGAAGCUGCAACCUGAGGCUGAUGACACUCCCCUGCUGUAAGGAGAUAAAACCUGCCCCUCUGUGAUCCGGAGAAGCUGAAAGCACCAGUAGCACACCACCACCCCGUAGCCUCUAUGAUUCUUCCCACCAACCUUUUCAACUUUCCCACAGAGAACAGGUUACCGCUUGCAAGCCUAAGCAAGUUCAUCAAGGUUUGUCUUAAAUUCCCAAGUUGUUCGGCUUCCUCCUUCAGAAAGCCGUUGAUCAUCUUCAACAACAGUGACAGGAUAUAGAGAGUGAGGAAACACAUCCUGGAGCUGCUUAACCCCACAGGUCCAGUGGCCCCCAGUGGCUCCAUUGCUUCAGACCAGGUCACUCAUCAGCCCCCACUGUGGUGCAUUCACUUGCACACCCCCAUGCUACUGAGAGUUCGGUUCACAUCAACUGACUUAAAUGGCGUCCAUCGUCCCCAGACACAGGAAAUCUCCUGUACUCAACUGCCCUUAAGUUAUUACCUGGCCCCAAAGACUGGUCCUAAUCCUUGGGCUGGUUCUGGAAACAUUACAAUGAAGAGGAAUCAGUCCUGCUUCAUCUCGAUUAUGUGAUUCUGAUGAUGUCCUCUCCUUUAUUUUUAAAUGUAUAUUACCAAUAUUGUAUAAUCAUCUUACAAAGGCACGGCUUGGCUUCAAUUAAUGAGUCUUUUCGUGUAUGAGUGUGUGGUAAUAAAUAAAAAUAGCUUUAAACUGAAAA